rnacentral:rRNA from 1 species
AUGAACGCUGGCGGCGUGCCUAAUACCUGCAAGUCGAGCGAACAGACGAGGAGCUUGCUCCUCUGACGUUAGCGGCGGACGGGUGAGUAACACGUGGAUAACCUACCUAUAAGACUGGGUAACUUCGGGAAACCGGAGCUAAUACCGGAUAAUAUAUUGAACCGCAUGGUUCAAUAGUGAAAGACGGUUUUGCUGUCACUUAUAGAUGGAUCCGCGCCGCAUUAGCUAGUUGGUAAGGUAACGGCUUACCAAGGCGACGAUGCGUAGCCGACCUGAGAGGGUGAUCGGCCACACUGGAACUGAGACACGGUCCAGACUCCUACGGGAGGCAGCAGUAGGGAAUCUUCCGCAAUGGGCGAAAGCCUGACGGAGCAACGCCGCGUGAGUGAUGAAGGUCUUCGGAUCGUAAAACUCUGUUAUUAGGGAAGAACAAAUGUGUAAGUAACUAUGCACGUCUUGACGGUACCUAAUCAGAAAGCCACGGCUAACUACGUG